rnacentral:rRNA from 1 species
AGAGUUUGAUCCUGGCUCAGAGUGAUCGCUGGCGGCGUGCUUAACACAUGCAAGUCGAGCGGGUUUCGGCAGCGUAUCGUCGGAACUAGCGGCAGACGGGUGAGUAAUACUUGGGCAAUCUGCCCUUGAGUGGGAAACAACCGGCCGAAAGGCUGGCUAAUGUCCCAUAAGACCACAGGAUGGCAUCAUCCAGGGGUCAAAGCUCCGUAAGGGGCGCUUGAGGAGGAGCCCGAGUCCUAUCAGCUAGUUGGUGAGGUAAUGGCUCACCAAGGCUUUGACGGGUAGCCGGCCUGAAAGGGUGAUCGGCCACACUGGCACUGAGACACGGGCCAGACUCCUACGGGAGGCAGCAGUGGGGAAUUUUGGACAAUGGGGGCAACCCUGAUCCAGCGACGCCGCGUGAAGGAUGAAGGUCUUCGGAUUGUAAACUUCUUUUAGAGGGGAUGAACGCCUGAGUGAAUAACUCAGGGUGACAGUACUCUUUGAAUAAGCCACGGCUAACUACGUGCCAGCAGCCGCGGUAAUACGUAGGUGGCAAGCGAUACUCGGAAUCACUAGGCGUAAAGCGCAGGUAGGCGGUUUGGUAAGUCUUUUGUGAAAGCUCCCGGCUUAACUGGGAGAGGUCAAGGGAAACUACCGGACUAGAGUGUGGUAGGGGAUACUGGAAUUCCUGGUGUAGCGGUGAAAUGCGUAGAUAUCAGGAGGAAUACCUAUGGCGAAAGCAGGUAUCUGGGCCAUCACUGACGCUGAGCUGCGAAAGCUAGGGGAGCAAACAGGAUUAGAUACCCUGGUAGUCCUAG